rnacentral:rRNA from 1 species
UGGGGAAUUUUGGACAAUGGGGGCAACCCUGAUCCAGCCAUGCCGCGUGAGUGAAGAAGGCCUUCGGGUUGUAAAGCUCUUUCGGCCGGGAAGAAAUCGUGCAGGCUAAUACCCUGUAUGGAUGACGGUACCGGAAUAAGAAGCACCGGCUAACUACGUGCCAGCAGCCGCGGUAAUACGUAGGGUGCGAGCGUUAAUCGGAAUUACUGGGCGUAAAGCGUGCGCAGGCGGUUUUGUAAGACAGGCGUGAAAUCCCCGGGCUCAACCUGGGAACUGCACUUGUGACUGCAAGACUAGAGUACGGCAGAAGGGGGUGGAAUUCCACGUGUAGCAGUGAAAUGCGUAGAGAUGUGGAGGAACACCAAUGGCGAAGGCAGCCCCCUGGGUCGAUACUGACGCUCAUGCACGAAAGCGUGGGGAGCAAACAG